UUUGAUCCUGGCUCAGGAUGAACGCUAGCGGCAGGCCUAAUACAUGCAAGCUGAACGGCAAGUUUUGUAGCAAUACGAGACCUAGAGUAGCGUAAGGGUGCGUAACACGUAUGCAAUCUACCCACAACAGGAGGAUAGCUCCCCGAAAGGGGAAUUAAGACUCCAUAAUAUCACAUGAGGGCAUCUGAGUGUGAUUAAAGUACAAGCGGUUGUGGAUGAGCAUGCGUCUGAUUAGUUAGUUGGCGGGGUAACGGCCCACCAAGACGAUGAUCAGUAGGGGAACUGAGAGGUUGGUCCCCCACACUGGCACUGAGAUACGGGCCAGACUCCUACGGGAGGCAGCAGUAGGGAAUAUUGGACAAUGGGUGCAAGCCUGAUCCAGCCAUGCCGCGUGCAGGAAGACAGCCUUCUGGGUUGUAAACUGCUUUUACCAGGGGAUAAAAUAGUCUUGCGAGACGAAUUGAAGGUACCUGGUGAAUAAGCCACGGCUAACUACGUGCCAGCAGCCGCGGUAAUACGUAGGUGGCAAGCGUUGUCCGGAUUUAUUGGGUUUAAAGGGUGCGUAGGCGGUAGCCUAAGUCAGCAGUGAAAUACGGCAGCUUAACUGUCGAGGUGCUGUUGAUACUGGGUUACUUGAGUACUGAUGAGGUAGGCGGAAUGGACGGUGUAGCGGUGAAAUGCUUAGAGAUCGUCCAGAACACCGAUAGCGAAGGCAGCUUACUAAGGAGUAACUGACGCUGAGGCACGAAAGUGUGGGGAUCAAACAGGAUUAGAUACCCUGGUAGUCCACACUGUAAACGAUGAUUACUCGAUGUGUGCGAUACACAGCACGCGUCUUAGCAAAAGCGAUAAGUAAUCCACCUGGGGGAGUACGCCGGGCACGGUGAAACUCAAAGGAAUUGACGGGGGUCCGC
rnacentral:rRNA from 1 species